GACGAACCGAGCGAACGUUGUUCGGAAUCACUGGGCUUAAAGGGCGCGUAGGCGGGUGCUCAAGUCCGUGGUGAAAUCCUCCGGCUCAACCGGAGAACUGCCUCGGAUACUGGGUGCCUCGAGGGUGGUAGGGGUAUGCGGAACUAUCGGUGGAGCGGUGAAAUGCGUUGAUAUCGAUAGGAACUCCGGUGGCGAAGGCGGCAUACUGGACCACAUCUGACGCUGAGGCGCGAAAGCCAGGGGAGCGAACGGG
rnacentral:rRNA from 1 species